UCUACGAGACAACGUUCGAGCUCGCCUCGACCACGUACCCUUGACCUCAAAUCGGGUGAGACUACCCGCUGAACUUAAGCAUAUCAAUAAGCGGAGGAAAAGAAACUAACGAGGAUUCCCCUAGUAACUGCGAGUGAAGCGGGAAAAGCUCAAAUUUAAAAUCUGAUGGUCCUUGGCCGUCCGAGUUGUAAUUUAGAGAAGCGUCUUCCGCGCYGGACCGUGCACAAGUCUCCUGGAAUGGAGCGUCGUAGAGGGUGAGAAUCCCGUCUUUGGCACGGAUCCCCGGUGCUUCUGUGAUGCGCUCUCGAAGAGUCGAGUUGUUUGGGAAUGCAGCUCAAAAUGGGUGGUGAACUCCAUCUAAAGCUAAAUAUUGGCGAGAGACCGAUAGCGAACAAGUACCGUGAGGGAAAGAUGAAAAGCACUUUGGAAAGAGAGUGAAACAGUACGUGAAAUUGUUGAAAGGGAAACGCUUGAAGUCAGUCGCGUCGACCGAGACUCAGCCUCGCCUUGGCUUGGUGUACUUCUCGGCCCGACGGGUCAGCAUCGAUUUCGUCUCUCGGAAAAUGGCAAGGGAAAGGUGGCACCUUUGCGGGUGUGUUAUAGUCUCCUGUCGCACGCGAGGGGUUAGAUCGAGGAACUCAGCACGCGCCUUUUGGUGUCGGGGCUUCGGCCCACGUAACGUGCUUAGGAUGCUGGCGUAAUGGCUUUAAACGACCCGUCUUGAAACACGGACCAAGGAGUCCAACAUGCCCGCGAGUGUUCGGGUGGAAAACCCGUGCGCGUAAUUAAAGUGAAAGUUGGGACCUCUGUCGUGGAGGGCACCGACGCCCGGACCAGACCUUCUGUGACGGAUCUGCGGUAGAGCGUGUAUGUUGGGACCCGAAAGAUGGUGAACUAUGCCUGAAUAGGGUGAAGCCAGAGGAAACUCUGGUGGAGGCUCGUAGCGAUUCUGACGUGCAAAUCGAUCGUCAAAUUUGGGUAUAGGGGCGAAAGACUAAUCG
rnacentral:rRNA from 1 species